rnacentral:rRNA from 1 species
AAUGAACGCUGGCGGCGUGUCUUAAGCAUGCAAGUCGUGCGGCAAGGGUAGCAAUACCCCUAGAGCGGCGGACUGGUGAGUAACGCAUGGGUGAUCUGCCCUUGGGAUGGGGAUAGCCACUAGAAAUAGUGGGUAAUACCGAAUACGUUCACACUUUCGGAGGUGUGAGGAAAAGCGCUUCGGCGCUGCCCGAGGAUGAGCCCGUGCCCCAUUAGCUAGUUGGUGAGGUAACGGCCCACCAAGGCGAUGAUGGGUAGGCGGCCUGAGAGGGUGUACGCCCACACUGGGACUGAGACACGGCCCAAACUCCUACGGGAGGCAGCAGUGGGGAAUCUUCCGCAAUGGACGAAAGUCUGACGGAGCAACGCCGCGUGAGUGAAGAAGGUUUUCGAAUCGUAAA